rnacentral:rRNA from 1 species
CAGUAGCCACGGGAAUACGGAGGGGGCUAGCGUUGUUCGGAAUUACUGGGCGUAAAGCGCACGUAGGCGGUUUUGUAAGUCAGAGGUGAAAGCCCGGAGCUCAACUCCGGAACUGCCUUUGAGACUGCAUCACUUGAACGUCGGAGAGGUGAGUGGAAUUCCGAGUGUAGAGGUGAAAUUCGUAGAUAUUCGGAAGAACACCAGUGGCGAAGGCGGCUCACUGGACGACUGUUGACGCUGAGGUGCGAAAGCGUGGGGAGCAAACAGGAUUAGAUACCCGUGUAGUCCCUGUCUCUUAUAC